rnacentral:lncRNA from 1 species
GGACUAUGGUUUCAAAUGUACCUGUAUCACGGGUUCUACCAAGUUCCCAAAGUCCUUAACCACUUUCAAAUAUUUAUCAGGUGACGGGACUACUCCCAUUCCAAUAAUAUUUGUAGGAAAGUCUCGUUUGGGUGUAGUAUCGCGUAUCAACCAAUUCAAGACUACUCUUGGUUAGCCACCGCACUACGUCCUAAAAGGCCAAGAUGGGUUAAUGGUAACUAAAGGUCCUCAACAUCGACGGUCACUUGAAAAUACAAUGCCAACACGACCACUCAUGCCGACAUAAAUUACUUCCAAGAUCCCUCCAUUGAGUGGGGUUAUACCACAUGAACCAAAACACGAGACUUGACUCUCGGAAAGGCACUUUGGUUAUACCACCAUCCUAUCUUAUGUUUCCCUCAAGCCCGGGUGUAGGACUUAUCUCACCACUCACGUUUAGAAAGAAGAAAGAAGAAGGAAGAACAUAUAUACACGUAUUUCCAUCUUUUAUUUUUGUUUUAGUUUUAAGCAAGUUAUAGCACAAAGAGUUAAAUAAAGCCAAGUUAGGCUCAACCCUCUUAGGGGAUCCCCAGUGAAGUCGCCAUUUCUGUCGCGUCAUUUUUUGGAGAUCAAGGCUAUUUGAUUAGCUUUUGACUCACUAAUUAUUUCACGACUGAACAUUUAAUUUUUUAAGAAAAGGGGAAAAAAUUUCAAACUACCCCAUUUUGAAAAGAUUUAGGGUUCGGGGGUUAGUUACAUAAAGGGAAGGUGUUAGCACCCUUUAUGUCCGUAGUACUCUACGGGAACCUCUUGGUUUUUAUUUAAUUUUCGUGCUAUAACUUGCUUGCUUUUGAAAAGAAGGAAUUAAUGUGAUGAAAAAGAAAAUAAAGUGAGACCUAAUUUAUCUACAUUUUUUAUUGUUUGAAAGGACAUGGUCCUCUGCCUACGUACCCGUGAAGGAUCAAAACCUCGUAGUUCGGGGUAGAAAUUGACGUUUGAUUUGUUGAGUGUUUUUUAUUAAUUUUGAAAAAGGUUUUAAAAUGAAAAGCCAAGUGGCAAAUAAGAAUUUGUUUGUGUUUUUUAUAUUAAAGAAAAUGACUUAAAGUUGAAUUAAAGUUGAUUGAAAUUUGAUAAAAAUAAAAAGAGACGAUCACUUGAUUUAGGAUCAAGGUUUGUUUAUGAAAAUAUUUUUGUGAUUUUUGUUAUUUGCAUGUUUUUGUUGUUUUUGAAUAAUUGGACUAAAAAAUUAAACUAACGGAGCAUAAAAAUAAAAAAACGUAGGUACCUCAUGGGGUAUUGGACCACCACCUUUGACCUAAACUACAAAGCAGAUAAGAGACAUACACACACAUGCACCUACGACUAUUACAUAAAAGCCUAUUUACAUUCUAAGGUCUGCAGAAAAUAAAUGACAAGAAAAAUAAAUAAAUUAUUUACAUCAAUGCCUAUUGUACAUUCUAAAUCAAUGCAAGUAAAUAAAAGAUAUAAAAUAAAUAUGUGAAUGCUGAUAAAUAAUAAGAUAAAAGAAAAUAAAAAUGCUAAAGAAAAAAUAAAUGCAAGGGAAAUUUAAAAACGCAUGAAAACGGUAAAAAAAGAAAGAUGAUGGGGGUGCAGGUAGUAAGCAGGGGGGGUGCAGGAAGUAAAAAAAGAAUUGGGCUUCAUGGAGAGGCUUGGGCGCGCUUAGUGGGCUUAAACCGGUUUGGUUCAGGCCUGAAUCGGUUCAGGAGAACCAAACCGGUUCAGGGGGCUAUAUAAAGGGUGUAACGGUUUUUUCACUCAUUUCCUACAUCCCUUUCUCUCUCUUCCCUUUUUCUUUCCCUCAUAUGCUCUCUCCUCUCUCUUACUCCUUCUUUCUUCUCCGACCAGCAUGAGUUUUCCGGCGCGGUGGUCGCCGGCCUAGGGUGGUGGCGCCGCCGCGCCGGAGACAAAACAUCUCCCCUUUUUUUUUUAAAUUUUCGGUUUUCCUACCUAUUUUCUCUUCUCUAUCCGUUUCUAGCCUUAAAAUUUCCCAACACUAAGCCUAGGCUUCUAGAUCUAAAAAAAAAGAGGAAAACUACCUUUGGUUACAGCUUCGGUUCAGCUUUGUGUUAAUUCGUUUUGAUUCCUGGUUCGUGUUUGGCUUGUGCUGCUGCGUGUUUGGGGUUGUGUCGCUUCUGUGUGUGUGUGUUUGUUGGGUUGUGCGCCUCUCUCUGUGUUGUGGUGUUGCUUCCUGUGCGUGUGUGUUUUGUUGUGUUGCUGCGUGUUGAUGCUGUGUUGCGAUUCCGUUUCCUCUAUUGUUCCUGUGUGUUUUUGAUUGUGUUUGGCAGGUUGCAAUUUAUAGUGCUGGGAUUUGGGUUUAGGGUUUGUUAAAAGAGUAGAUAAAUGUGGCUUUGGAUUGAGAUGAAGAACACGACUGGAUUUGGAUUGAAUGAGCAUGGGAAACGCGUUUGCACUGGCGUGACAGACUAUUUUUUUUUUUAUUGAAAAGAAAAAAACGUGUUUAUGCAUCUGGACCACUUUUUGGAUUUUUUGACACUUUUGGACUUAUCUCUUAAAUUUUUUUUAAAAAAUGAAAUAAAUAAUAAAAUAAAAAGGAAAUAAAAUUUACAUUUUCGGUUUUUUUUUGAUAAAAAUAAAAAAAAAUAAAAACAAAAAUAAAAAAUGAAAUUUGGAUUUAAUGGGAAUAAAAAGAAAUUAAAUUAAAUUUAGACUAAAGUUAAAAUAAAAAUUUAAAAGAUGGAAAUAAUUUUAAAGACUGAGAUAAGAGGGCCCGACUCAGAACAAAAUGAGGUAUUUUAAAAUACCUUCCUGCCGAAUUUUUCACUGAAACGUGAGACCGAUCAGGGUUAAAUGGCGCGUGUCAGUGGGAUCUUGGGUCAAAAAUUGGGGUAUGACAGUGGUGAAAUGCAACCUACACCCAGAAAGGCCUCUAAGACAGUCCCUGAAAAGACUGUUUUGGAAAACCAACAAACAGAAACCCAAACAGAAACUCAAACCAUCCCUGAGCAAACUGUUCCUGAACAUACUUGUCGCGUCAUUUAUUGGAGAUCAAGGCUAUUUGAUUAGCUUUUGACUCACUAAUUAUUUCACGACUGAACAUUUAAUUUUAUUAAGAAAAGGGGAAAAAAGUUCAAACACCCCAUUUUGAAAAGAUUUUGGGUUCGGGGGUUAGUUACAUAAAGGGAAGGUAUUAGCACCCUUUAUGUCCGUAGUACUCUACGGGAACCUCUUGGUUUUUAUUUAAUUUUCGUGCUAUAACUUGCUUG